rnacentral:misc_RNA from 1 species
CGGGUGGGACCAUGAGUUGGUACUCUUGAUUCUGAUACACUGUCAAGAAGAUAAGGAAGUUCCAAAAGCUGCAACAAAGACUCUGUUUGAGGAUUCCUAGGAUAAUCAAAGUAGGAAUUAUUUGAGUCAGGUUGGCUGGGAUCAAAAGAAGGAACGGUCUGUGCAAAUUCAAAAGGUUUGGGCCCUCUAGCUUGUAGCCGGCUCCUAACCCAUUGUUGACAAUCUUGCAUCUCGAGCUGUGUACCACCAAAAUUUGCAUUUUUAAAUGUUAACGGAAAUAUAGGGUUGAACUUCCUGGUUAUUGCCAGCCAUUCUUCAUCAUAUUGAAUCUCAUAAGGUCCAGGCUCUGAUUCAAUAUCAAUAAUCUGCAAAAAUUUGCGCCGUGGAAGACACUUAUCAAGUGCAAGAAAUUUUGUUGUUGGGCCACUUUCCCCAUGUUGGACAACAGCAGCAAAUUUGCAGUGCAAGUGAGCCGAAAACCAAUAAGGAGGCCUCAAUUUUUCCAGUAGCUG